AUUGAACGCUGGCGGCAUGCCUUACACAUGCAAGUCGAACGGCAGCACGGGAGCAAUCCUGGUGGCGAGUGGCGAACGGGUGAGUAAUAUAUCGGAACGUGCCCAGUCGUGGGGAUAACGUAGCGAAAGCUACGCUAAUACCGCAUACGAUCUAUGGAUGAAAGCGGGGGAUCGCAAGACCUCGCGCGAUUGGAGCGGCCGAUAUCAGAUUAGGUAGUUGGUGGAGGUAAGGCUCACCGAAGCCGACGAUCUGUAGCUGGUCUGAGAGGACGACCAGCCACACUGGGACUGAGACACGGCCCAGACUCCUACGGGAGGCAGCAGUGGGGAAUUUUGGACAAUGGGCGCAAGCCUGAUCCAGCAAUGCCGCGUGCAGGAUGAAGGCCCUCGGGUUGUAAACUGCUUUUGUACGGAACGAAAAGGUUUGUCUUAAUACGAUGAGCUCAUGACGGUACCGUAAGAAUAAGCACCGGCUAACU
rnacentral:rRNA from 1 species